UGUGUGUGUGUGCGCUGGAUGAUGUGUGUGUGUCGCUGGAUGAUGAUGUGUGUGUGUGUGUGCUGGAUGAUGUGUGUGUGUGCUGGAUGAUGUGCUGGAUGAUGUGUGAGUGCUGGAUGAUGUGUGUGUGUGCUGGAUGAUGUGUGUGUGUGCUGGAUGAUGUGUGUGUGUGCUGGAUGAUGUGUGUGUGUGCUGGAUGAUGUGUGUGUGUGUGCUGGAUGAUGUGUGUGUGUGUGCUGGAUGAUGUGUGUGUGCUG